rnacentral:rRNA from 1 species
GGUUGCGAUCAUACCAGCACUAAUGCACCGGAUCCUGUCAGAACUCCGCAGUUAAGCGUGCUUGGGCGAGAGUAGUACUAGGAUGGGUGACCCCCUGGGAAGUCCUCGUGUUGCAACCC